UUGAUUUAAAAAAAAAAAAUUAAAUAAUCGUUAACCAACAACACUUAAAUGAAGUUGGUACCUCGACUUAUAAUAAUGAGUUAUACAACUAAAAACGUUUUACCACACGACUGCCAACGUUUUGUUAUUUUUUGAAAAAAAAUCAUUUAGUUUUAGAAAACUGUAUAAAAAUGUAUGCCGGGAUUCAAAAAAAAAAAAAAACAAAACAAAACAAAACAAAAAUAAUGAAAUAAUGAUGAAAAAGAAAACUGUCCGCAGUCCCAUUAAACAAUAACGAUGAAAAACCUAUUAUGUUAUUAACUGUUGCAAUAACGUGUGAUGAAGCGAUGCGAAAAGACGUUGCCUCGAUUAGUUGGUCACACACAAACUAUAGGAAUUGGACAAAAAAUUUAAAAUACUCUCACAUAUACGUAUGUUAUACAAAUGUCAUUUUAAUUUACUGUACUACUGUACGCAUGAAUAACGUUGGU